GGGAAUAUAGCUUAGGGAAAGAACAUUUGACUGAAGAUCAAGAAGUCCCUAGUCCAAAUCCAGGCAUCCCA
rnacentral:tRNA from 1 species